GGGCCUCUAGCUCAACGGCAGAGCACUCGGCUCUUAACCGAUAGGUUCGGGGUUCAAAUCCCCGGGGGCCCA
rnacentral:tRNA from 1 species